UACGUAGGUGGCAAGCGUUGUCCGGAUUUACUGGGUGUAAAGGGCGUGCAUCCGGGAAGACAAGUCCGAUGUGAAAUCCCGCGGCUCAACCGCGGAACUGCAUUUGAAACUGUUUUUCUUGAGUACCGGAGAGGUCAUCGGAAUUCCUUGUGUAGCGGUGAAAUGCGUAGAUAUAAGGAAGAACACCAGUGGCGGAGGCGGAUGACUGGACGGCAACUGACGGUGAGGCGCGAAAGCGUGGGGAGCAAACAGG
rnacentral:rRNA from 1 species